UACGUAGGGUGCAAGCGUUAAUCGGAAUUACUGGGCGUAAAGCGUGCGCAGGCGGUUUUGUAAGUUUGUCGUGAAAGCCCCGAGCUCAACUUGGGAAUUGCGGUUGAAACUGGCGAACUAGAAUCUGGCAGAGGGGGGUGGAAUUCCACGUGUAGCAGUGAAAUGCGUAGAGAUGUGGAGGAACACCGAUGGCGAAGGCAGCCCCCUGGGCUAAGAUUGACGCUCAGGCACGAAAGCGUGGGGAGCAAACAGG
rnacentral:rRNA from 1 species